rnacentral:rRNA from 1 species
CAAUAGCGUAUAUUAAAGUUGUUGCAGUUAAAAAGCUCGUAGUUGGAUUUCUGAUCGAGACAUCAGGUCGGGUCCGAGAGGAUCAUUUACUUUGAUUUUGUUUUGAUCAUCCUUGGGGAGAGCAUUUCUGGCAUUCAGUUGUCGGGAUUGGGAUCCUCAUCGUUUACUGUGAAAAAAUUAGAGUGUUCAAAGCAGGCCUCGGCCUCUGAAUACAUUAGCAUGGAAUAAUAAGAUAGGACUUUGGUGGUCUAUUUUGUUGGUUUGCACGCCAAAGUAAUGAUUAAUAGGGAUAGUUGGGGGUAUUCGUAUUCAAUUGUCAGAGGUGAAAUUCUUGGAUUUAUGGAAGACGAACUACUGCGAAAGCAUUUACCAAGGAUGUUUUCAUUAA